rnacentral:sRNA from 1 species
UUUUAGUUUAUUUAUUUAUUUAUUU